CCUGGUCUCAAAAUAAAAAAUAAAAAGGGCUGGGGGUGUAGUUCAGAGGUAGAGCACCCCUGGGUUCAAUCUCCAGUACUGCUAAAUAAAUAAAUAUUUUUAAAAUACUGUCGAAGCCAAGUGUUGACAAAGAUGCCCAGUAAUUGGAACUCUUACACAUGCAGGUGGGUGUGCAACAUGGUACAAACAGCCACUCUGGAAAAUAAUUUGGCAGUUUCUUACAAAGUUAAACAUAGACUUAUACGACCCAGCAAUUCCACUUUUAUUCACCCAAGUGAAAUGAAAACCCAGAUUCAAACACAACCUGCCUACAAAUGUUCAUAAAUAGUGACUAUAUCUGUAGUCACCAAAUGCUAAAAAACAAUCCUAAUGUCCUUCAACCAGGGAGUGGAUAAACCAAGCGCUGGGCGUCUUCAGUGGGUUAGUGCUCAGUAAUGGAAGACUAACUACCUGAAUGAACUCCAAUGCAUUAGGUUAAGUGAAAGCAUCCAGACACAAAAGGCUGCAUACCAUGGUUCUGUUUACAUAACAUUCCUGCAAAGGCAAAACCACAGGGACAGAAAACAGAUCAGUAGUGUCCAGAGGCUGAGGGAGAAAGGACUAGGGACUCUAAAGGGGCAUGAAGAAAUUUCAGAGGUGACAGAACUUUCUAGUCUUGAUUAUCAUAAUAGUUGCACAGCUGUGUGUUUUUUGACAAAACUCAUCAAAAUAUAAACUUAGAUAGAAUGAAUUUUACAGCAUGUAUCCAACCAGCAGUGAGCCUAUACUCCCACAGUCAGAAUCAACUAUUUUCCUUAAGGCAGGUCACUUACUGUCCAGCUACCCUGGUUACUGCUGAGCCAGCAGGACUUAUUCACCUGGCUGGACUUUGUAGAUAGUUAUGUGUUAACUCUGUUUGUCCCACAGUGUGGGUAUAAAAUAGCAAAGUAUAUCUAACUGCUAAAAAUUGGUGAUUUCCUAACUAGGAUGCUCUCUGCAGUUAGUACUUCCCAGAAUAUCCUAUCUAAUUCUUGCUUUAUAAUCACAUGGUAAACUCCUACCUGUCUAUGCACAUGCUCCUCUUCACUGAAGCCUCUCUCUUUGACAAGCACCUCUCUCUCUGACAAGCACCUCUCUCUCUCUCAGACAAAGCCAGUUACGUAGUCCUGGGUUAGUCCCAUCUUGUGGUAUUCAUUUGACUCUAUUGAAAUUAGUAAUGCCCUUAUGAUAUGAGCACCAGAAAUAUUAUGGGAUUAUUGACUGUUGAUCAUAUUAAUUAGUGUGUGUGUGUUGAGUGAAUAAGUAGAUGACUAUAAGCAAUUAGCCCAUGAUGCAAUGUAAACCGCAAUACUGGAUAAACUGCAGAACUAAACAGACUUAAAUUAGUAUUGUUAGAGUCUACACCUGGGGAGUGCACCCCAGACCUCAUCCAGUUAUUAGCUGCAAGCACAACUGAACUAGGACUUAAAAACCCAGACUUCUGGAGGUCAGCAGGACUAACAGACCUGGACAGAAAGACUGAGACCUCCGUUGCUGUUGUUCCCCUGCACCAGACUCCUCUGGCCCAGAUGGAGUUCCAGUGACCCGGAACUCCAUCACACCUGAGUCACGUCACAGGUAAGUGUCUAGGACCCUUGGGUGUAGCCUCAGUUAGGACUUAAAAUUAGGAUGUCUCUGAAGUGUGAUGAGAAUGAAUAAAGUGAAUUUGGUUGAAUGUAACUGCGCCUCAGACGGAGUCUAUAGUAACCACUCGUGACACCGUAUCAUCCUCCCUCCCCACCAGAGAGCCCACAGUGGGUACUGGUGAGGGUAUGUUAAAUGAGUUGGCCUCAUUUCUUAGGCAAUAAAGAAAAAAAGUCUGAAGCAGAACCAUGAGGAAUGAGCAAGUAAACCCAGAGGAGGGUCAGAAAUUAAUUUGGAGCCAGAUUGAGUAAGAUUUGAAUGUCAGUUUAAGGAUUUUCAAUUUCUUUCCGUGGGGCACAAGGAGCUCUUCACCUUCCCCACAUAUCAUUUUCUCCCCUUUGACUUUAGCAGGUUCUUUCUCCUAAAAGCCAUGCAACUCCCUCCCUUCACUCAGGUCUCUGGUUAAAUGGCCAACAGAGAAGGUUCUCUGACCAUCUGAUAAAAAAAUAAUAGCCCAGCCUCCCCAGUACAAGACAGCUGGCCCCCUUAUUCCGCUUUGUUUUUCUUCAUGGCAUUAAUCAAAAUUUGACAUACUCUGUUUAUUGUCUUUUUCCCUUCACAGAAUAUAAGAUUAAGAACAGAAGGAACAUUGUUUAAUUCAUUGCUGUGCCCUCAGCAUCUGGGGCAGUGGCUGAAUCAGAGCCCGGGCUCCAUAAUGUAUUUGUGGAACAAACGAAGCCCACUUUUGCACAUAUGGAAAUGAGGUUUCACAGCCUGUCAGUAGUAAAGCCAGGAUAUGGAUGCAGAUCUUCUGUGAGUUUUACUUUAAAGGAUGCUCUUUUAACCAGUAUCCAGUGGAUUGAGCCUCAGGGCACAGACUUUGGAAUCAAAAAGGCCUCAGCUUAAAUGAGUGGCUCUUAACUGAGAUCUGUCAAAGGGACAGAAAUGCAAACAAAUCAUUUUACAGAUGACUUCAAGGAGUUUAAGGACAUUCUUCAGGAACUUUCUUGAGCUUUGUGGAUAUGGUCUUUGGACCACUCAUUUCAUCCCUCUGGGCCUCAGUUAGAGCUCUCAAGAGGAGACCAUGAGACUGGUCUCAAGUUCACUGGAAGAUCACAUGGGAUCCAAAUGAAUGUUUGCUAUUCAGUAUCCUCAGUGCCCAUUUUCCCUACCCUAUCUGAGCCGCUGUGUGACAAGCUGGGAAACAGGCUCCAGAGACCUUUGCUCCAGACUUGCCCCUCCUUUGCCCCAGCCUGUGGGACUCUCAGACUCUUAUUUUCUAUGAGCAUUAGAGGCCCCACCAGGAAAAUGGGAUUAUUGCUCAUUUAACAGAAUGAAUAAAAUGAGAUAGUGAAAGCCCUCAGGAAACACUAAAGCCCUCCAAAUGUUCCCCAAGA
rnacentral:lncRNA from 1 species